UGGUUGUAACAUAUGCAGGGGUGCGCCUGCGUAACCUGCAAGGUCAAUGUCAACCUUGUUGUUCCUGGUAGCUUCUUAAGGGAAGGGGUACAGGUGUGAUAAUUAACCCUUGCACUAAACUUGAACCCAAUAAAUCAUAGACAUUUUUCAAUCAUAGACAUUGGGGUAAUUAGGAUUUUUUAGAAGAUCGAACGAGUUCAGUGAAUUGAUUCCUAUAGAAUAAAUGGGUUAGAGAGUACGUUUUUGUCGUAGAAGAUUAUUUAGGUUACGGUCAUAUGUCUACGCGUUUAUAAUAAGCUUAUACAGAAAUCAGUUUUUCAUUUCGUAGAAGGUGAUUACCUUGAGGAGGGACAUAUAUGAAUAAUCUACAAGCUGUUCGUAAGCCUCCUUUGGUGGAUUAAAACGAUAAAGCAUUGCAAAUACAUAAACUUGGAAAUAUCGACACUGUCGACGUGCUUUCAAUUAUUUAUAGCCAUAUCCAUCAUACAACUGCCUUACUCUCAUAUUGAAUAUGUAUAAUUCUUACAAGGCAAACUGUUUGUCCAUCUAAACCCUAAUUUAUACGACCUGCACUAAAAGCCAAACUUUCGAUGUACUUAAAGAAACUCGAUCGAAGAAAGAAAAUUAAAUAAAGUAAACGUAAAAA